GAUGAACGCUGGCGGCGUGCCUAAUACAUGCAAGUCGAGCGGACGGACGAGAAGCUUGCUUCUCUGAUGUUAGCGGCGGACGGGUGAGUAAAACGUGGAUAACCUACCUAUAAGACUAGGAUAACUUCGGGAAACCGGAGCUAAUAACGGAUAAUAUUUUGAACCGCAUGGUUCAAAAGUGAAAGACGGUCUUGCUGGCACUUAUAGAUGGAUCCGCGCUGCAUUAGCUAGUUGGUAAGGUAACGGCUUACCAAGGCGACGAUGCAUAGCCGACCUGUGAGGGUGAACGGCCACACUGGAACUGAGAGACGGUCCUGACUCCUACGGGAGGCAGAAGUAGCGAAUGUUCCGCGAUGGGCGGAAGCCUGACGGAGCAACGCCGCGUGAGUGAUGAAGGUCUUCGGAUCGUAAAACUCUGUUAUUAGGGAAGAACAUAUGUGUAAGUAACUGUGCACAUCUUGACGGUACCUACACAGAAAGCAACGGCUAACUACGUG
rnacentral:rRNA from 1 species